GAGUUUGAUCAUGGCUCAGGAUGAACGCUAGCGGCAGGCUUAACACAUGCAAGUCGAGGGGUAUAGGUUUUCGGACCUAGAGACCGGCGCACGGGUGCGUAACGCGUAUGCAAUCUACCUUUUACAGAGGGAUAGCCCAGAGAAAUUUGGAUUAAUACCUCAUAGUAUUAUUGAGUGGCAUCAUUUAAUAAUUAAAGUUCCAACGGUAAAAGAUGAGCAUGCGUCCCAUUAGCUAGAUGGUAAGGUAACGGCUUACCAUGGCGACGAUGGGUAGGGGUCCUGAGAGGGAGAUCCCCCACACUGGGUACUGAGACACGGACCAGACUCCUACGGGAGGCAGCAGUGAGGAAUAUUGGUCAAUGGGCGCAAGCCUGAACCAGCCAUGCCGCGUGCAGGAUGACGGUCCUAUGGAUUGUAAACUGCUUUUGUACGGGAAGAAACAGUUCUACGUGUAGAACCUUGACGGU
rnacentral:rRNA from 1 species